rnacentral:rRNA from 1 species
UUGGUGCUUGCACCAAUUUGAAGAGCAGCGAACGGGUGAGUAACGCGUGGGGAAUCUGCCUUUGAGCGGGGGACAACAUUUGGAAACGAAUGCUAAUACCGCAUAAAAACUUUAAACACAAGUUUUAAGUUUGAAAGAUGCAAUUGCAUCACUCAAAGAUGAUCCCGCGUUGUAUUAGCUAGUUGGUGAGGUAAAGGCUCACCAAGGCGAUGAUACAUAGCCGACCUGAGAGGGUGAUCGGCCACAUUGGGACUGAGACACGGCCCAAACUCC